AAGUUUGAUCCUUUCAAGAAAGAGUUGUCCUCUAAGGGACCCCAGAAAGGACUUUGGCCCUAUAAGCAAGGCUUGGCCCUCAGAAGGAUUUAAGGCCCCGCCAGCAAGAGUUGCGAUGUUUUAUGGGUUCAUGUCCCAGUGCGGUUCUACCAGCAGAUACAUUUUGGGGGGGUGGAGGGACAUUAAAAGUGAUAAUUUUUAUUCCACUCCCUGCCAGCGCAGGGCCCAACGAGCAGUGGGCUUAGUGGGACGGGAAGAGAUGCGCUGGGGGCUUUGAGAGUGGUAUUAAAAAGACAGUGAAAGAGGUAAAUUUUAUAUAUUUUUUAAAUUAAUUUUACUCCUGCUGGGUGUACAUUGUGUGUGGGUUUCCUUGUGGCAAGGAAGGCGUUGCAAACCCUGGAGUUUGGGGGGCAGCGGGGAGCCAGCACCAGGUUCCCCCAGCUCUGGUUGCUGUGGCGUUCAGCUGAAGAUAUCCACACGCCACCAGGAGCUUCCAGAGAGCUCCAGGUUUCUGACUCGAGUGGUCAAACCCUUUCCAUCAGCAGGUGAGGCGCAGGUUUACCUGACAUUCCUCAAUUUUGCUAUUUCGCCAUAUUUUCGCUCCACAAGCUGGAGCUGGACCAUCAACAAACAGCGUGGUGAGAAUCCUCAGGUUAUGAUGCUGCCUUCUCUCGGGGAUGCUCCUUAAAACCUAAAGCUCUAACACCUAACAGCGACAGCUCCCAAAGCACGGCAGGGAUGAGCUGAAUUUGUUUCACAGACGCAGACGUCGUGGAGGCAAUACGUAACUGCAGACAGUGCCCUGCUGCCGGGUGGGUCCUGCCUUUGAGGCACGAGGGCCUUCCUGAACAUGACGGCGAGCAGCACUCGGUCGCCAAAGGAGUGGUUUUCCUGAGGUUUCGUUUACCAUGUUUGGACACGGCCGUGAUUAAUAUUUCCUAACAGGAAGACGUCAUGCGUGCAGGCUUUCCUCUUCGGGGUUCGGGUCGCGGCUGACCAAGUUCAGGUUGUACGCUGGCUCCUCGCUUCCUCCGGCUCGCAGACUACACCCGGCGGCUCCGUGUCGGACCCCAGCGGCUGCGGUCACCCAUUGCCGAGCCCGACGCGGGUCCUGGCGCCGAUGUGGUGUCACCACACCAUCCCUGGGGACCCGGAGAGCUUCGGUUUCCCUGUGCAGACACUGGCACCCUGACAUGCUGCACUUAUCUCCGAGGGAUUCCUGCUGCAGAGUCUGCAUGGGCUGCAGCAUCAGGCAGCAAAGCCUUGCUGCCCAUGUCCCACAUCCAGCUGCCACCCAGCCAGAAGAAGCAGCCCCGUUAGGUCUCCUGCGUCACCAGUAACUGUGCCAUGAAACUCUGCGCUGCGUCCCAAAGCCGCCUUACCCCACACGGAUUAGCCAAGCAGAUGGGUUGCAGCACUGGGCGGUUUCAAAAGAGAAAUUUUGCUUUUCUGGGACGCUGGCCAUCAGAAGAAUGUAUUUCUCCUGAAGUCUGCAGCGCUAACGGUCCUGGAGGACAAAGCCUUCUGACUCAAGCAGCACCCUGUUAACUGUGCAAAGUUUGUAGGGACCUGGGCAGCCCCACAAAGUGACCCAUCUGUGGUGUAGCAAGGGGGCUUCGGGGUAUAUUGCCCUCUGAAGUUUAUUUUCCCUAUUCACCCUGUAGUGAAAACAGAGGAGCUGCAUCUGCCGCCUCACUUAAAGCUUUCCCCAGAGGGUAAAAAUGAAAAUGGAAGAUGUAUAUAUCUGUAUAAACACACUUCCAGAUACACUUAAUAACAUAAUGUGGUAACAUUAUGGGUGGUAACGUCUUUGGGUGGGAGAAGCAUCCAUAAGGCAACGGGAUAAAUGACUGACAGCCCUCAGCAGGAGGCGGAGGGGGAGAUGGACACUGUCCUGCUGGGACCAAAGUGCCCAUCACCUCCUACCAGACGAGCAGCUGGGCCGGGUCCAGCUUAAACACAACCAGGCUGCUAUUCAGAGAGGAUUCAGCAGGGCCAAUAACCCUGGGUCCUUCUGUUUUGCAUUCUGGGUUUCAAGCCCCUAAGCAUUCGCACACGUGAGCUUUCUGCCUCAACUCUGGCAGCUGCAAAAAUGAGUUCUCUGCUCCAAACGAGAGCCGAGAUUCCCAUGUAAUGACCUGACCCCAGGAGACAGACUUCUAAAAAGUACCAAAAAUGUGGCAGACCCGCUGCAUCGGGCAUACGCACGUGCGUGUCCAGACGCUGGAUUUAGAGCAAGGCUUUGGUGAGCCAGCGGUUGCUACAUGCAGUCUGGAGGGCAAUGAAAAGAGGAGGCUUUUUGUUUCAAGACCCAUCAUUUAUUUUCAUUUGGAAAUCAAUCUACUCGGGACAACAGGAAGAAAAAGACAAGAAGAGACUCCAAGUAAAGGAGGUUGAGUUUAAUCCCAAAAGAAAAUGUUGCGGGAGGCCUGAAACAGCUUUUGGGGACUGAACUGCUCCCCACAGGUGUGAUUUUUUUGUUCAUCCAUUGACCUGAUGAAUCCCUUCCCCACCAGGCUCUGCCCAUGGCAUGGUCAAGGUUGUGUCACACACGUUGGAGAGCAUCACAGCCUCACCUGCACAGAAAAACACUGCAGGGGAGAAAUAGUUCCUGAAGUCAAGCACUGUAAUUUACUAACAGGUUUAUUAAAAUCUUAUUA